rnacentral:misc_RNA from 1 species
GCUCAAUGAAUUUUUAAUAGCCGCAGUUUUCCUGUGCUAAGGUAGCAUAAUCAUUUGCCUUUUAAUUUUAGGCUNGUAUGAAAGAUUUAACACCUUAAUUUCUUUCUUUAAUUUAUUUAAUUAAAUUUAUCUUAAAUAUAAAAAGAUAUUUAUUAUUAAGAAAGACGAUAAGACCCUAUUGAACUUUACUUUAGUUUAGCUGGGGCAGCUAAUUAAUAAUUAUUUUAAUUUUAUUUAUUUAAAUAAAUUGACCCAAUUUAUUUGAUCUUUGAUCAAGUUACCAUANGGAUAACAGCACANUAUUUUACUUAAGCUCUUAUUUAAUAAAAAGAUNGUGACCUCNAUGUUGAAUUAAUAUNCUUUUUGGUGCAACUACUUAAAUAGAAAGUCUGUUCGACUUUUAAACAAUUACAUGAUUUGAGUUCAAACCGGUAUAAGCCAGGUUGGUUUCUAUCUUCUUUAACUUUUUCUUAGUACGAAAGGACCAGAAAAUAUUUUAAAUCUUUUUGGCAGAUAAUUGCAUUAGAUUUAGAUUCUAAUUAUCCUAAAUUUAUUUCUACAAUUAAUUCUUUA